CGAAAAUUUGCACUUUCACGUCUUAAUUUUUCAUUCUUACAUUAUUUCAUUUUUCCAUUCCUUCCUCGUUGAAGUAUACCAGCAGUCUAUCCCUACCACUUCUUCUAAAUUUCUUACCAGUAUAUCACUCACAUUCAUUUCCGGGUACACAGAGAAUUCAAACAUCAUAAUUUUUUCCCUUUUCCUAGUUUACUUGAUUCGGUUAGAAAAAGUAAAGACUAAAAGUAUAAUUAAUCUUCUCAGCUCCCAAUUGUCUUGCUUUUUUUUUGUUUUGUUUCUUUUUUUAUUUUGGAUUUGUAUCUCUUCUGUCACGCUCCCAGAGUUCUUCUUUUAAUCGAUUAUGAUUUUCUGUUAAAAGAAAUGAAAACAUUAUUGCUCAUUUACUGUUUGAUAAAAUGCUUACUGUCUCUUUUUUGACUUAAUAUGUUGGUCCAGUUAUACCCCUUUUUCUAUGAUGAAUCAUGUAGGAACACCAAGUGGAUUUGCAAGCCGAGGACCUUGCUCACAGGAUUGGUUAAAGAAGUUCAAGUCUUUUGCUUCACAGAGGGUUUUUUUUUCCUUGUUCUAUUAUCCAUACCCAGUGUUUGUAUUUUAAGACCUCAUCUCCAAAUAUCUUGUUUGUUUGAUGCACAAUGAUAUUUAAUUGUACCAGAGAGGAAAAGGUGAUUGAGAGGACUUACAAGAAGCUUGAACUUGAUUCUUUAGUGAUUCAAGGACGACGACUAGCUGCGUAAAAAAAAAAGAUCCCUCCAAAUGUGCUUUCGUAAGCCGCUGCCAUAUCAGGUGUUUCAAGUGUAUCCUAUAAGUCAACGGAAGCUGAAGGAACUUGGUUGUUACACACUAUCACAAGUAUUCGCUGGAGCCGUUCUUGGAAUUUUGAUAGCUUUCUUUUGUUGCCAAGGUUGCUUGACAUACACAUAAGUUGGCAAUGUACUGAAGAGCUGGAACUGUAGAUGCGACAGUUCCUCGACGAGAGCUUUUCAGUUUUCCACCUUUUCCUGUGUAAUGCUUGUGCAACUUCUUUGAUUUUUAGUCAAUUCAUGCAUUGAAAAUCUCAUUUACUUGUGAUUCUUGCUGUAUUUGAACUAUUUCGAGGUUGUAAAGAGCUAGAGAAAAUACACUUAAAACUAAAUUUCUAUGUUUAAUAUUAAAUUUAAGAAACCUAGGGUUGGAUAACUGAGAUAGAUACCGAAGGCGCUACCUAUUUAUCAUCCAGUCAUAUUUCAUUUUUGUUAAAUUUCUAGCUAGGGUUUCUAUAAACAAGUUAUUCAUAAUUUUUGGUAUUAGUCUGUUAGAUAGUCUAGUAGUAUGCAUCUAACUUCCCGAAUUUAACGAGGGCUUGGCAAAGAUUUAUUAAUUUUUCACGUGUUUAUUUUGAAUAAUGUUAGGGUACUUGAGCUUCCUCUGGGGGAAUUUUGUAAGCAAGGUUUCCUGCUAGGUAAUGCAUCGGAAGCAGGAUUGAUUAAGCCAGGUAACGUGCAAGACAUUGAUGCGGGCAACGUUUGGUAUCAUGUUGCAUGGCGCGUUGUUUAUAGGGUAAACCAGAGGGAGCCACCUCACCACACUUAACAUGGAGCAAAUACGUGGAAUUCAAUUUAUAAUUGACCGGGGAGCCCAACAACUCUUAUUCGAUAUUGAGUACUUGAGUAAUUUGUUGAGUAUAAGUAAAUAGAGAAGUUUAGAGGUCCUUAUGUGAAGAUUGUUUAUCCUUUUUACUUAAGAGCUAGAAAUAUAGAUGCAACAGUUCUUUGGCGAGAGCUUUACAGUCUUCCACCUUUUCCUGUGUAAUGCUUGUGUUGAAACUUGUUUUCCCUUUAAUCAAUUCAUGCGUUAACAAUCUCAUUUA